UACGAAGGGGGCUAGCGUUGUUCGGAAUUACUGGGCGUAAAGGGAGCGUAGGCGGACAGUUAAGUCAGUGGUGAAAGCCCAGGGCUCAACCCUGGAAUAGCCUUUGAUACUGAUUGUCUUGAGUAUGGGAGAGGUAUGCGGAACUCCGAGUGUAGAGGUGAAAUUCGUAGAUAUUCGGAAGAACACCAGUGGGCGAAGGCGGCAUACUGGCCCAUUACUGACGCUGAGGCUCGGAAAGCGUGGGGGAGCAAACAGG
rnacentral:rRNA from 1 species